AAGUGCCUUCGGGAACUGUGAGACAGGUGCUGCAUGGCUGUCGUCAGCUCGUGUUGUGAAAUGUUGGGUUAAGUCCCGCAACGAGCGCAACCCUUAUCCUUUGUUGCCAGCACGUAAUGGUGGGAACUCAAGGGAGACUGCCGGUGACAAACCGGAGGAAGGUGGGGAUGACGUCAAGUCAUCAUGGCCCUUACGAGUAGGGCUACACACGUGCUACAAUGGCAGAUACAAAGUGAAGCGAACUCGCGAGAGCCAGCGGACCACAUAAAGUCUGUCGUAGUCCGGAUUGGAGUCUGCAACUCGACUCCAUGAAGUCGGAAUCGCUAGUAAUCGUAGAUCAGAAUGCUACGGUGAAUACGUUCCCGGGCCUUGUACACACCGCCCGUCACACCAUGGGAGUGGGUUGCAAAAGAAGUAGGUAGCUUAACCUUCGGGAGGGCGCUUACCACUUUGUGAUUCAUGACUGGGGUGAAGUCGUAACAAGGUAACCGUAGGGGAACCUGCGGUUGGAUCACCUCCUUACCU
rnacentral:rRNA from 1 species